GUGAGGAAUUUUCCGCAAUGGGCGAAAGCCUGACGGAGCAAUGCCGCGUGAAGGAUGAAGGCCUAUGGGUUGUAAACUUCUUUUCUCAGAAAAGAAUUAUGACGGUAUCUGAGGAAUAAGCAUCGGCUAACCCUGUGCCAGCAGCCGCGGUAAGACAGAGGAUGCAAGCGUUAUCCGGAAUGAUUGGGCGUAAAGCGUCUGUAGGUUGUUUAAAAAGUAUUCUGUCAAAGAUUAGGGCUUAACCCUAGAUAGGCAGAAUAAACUUUUAAGCUAGAGUUUGGUAGAGGCAGAGGGAAUUCCCGGUGGAGCGGUGAAAUGCGUAGAUAUCGGGAGGAACACCAAAGGCGAAGGCACUCUGCUGGGCCAAUACUAACACUGAGAGACGAAAGCGAGGGGAGCAAAUGGGAUUAGAAACCCCGGUAGUCC
rnacentral:rRNA from 1 species